UUUUUUGACUUUUGUUUCGUGUUUGAAUUUGGACUGACGACCGUGUUUAAAAUCUUGGACCGACGACUGUGUUUGAAAUCAUGAAACUGUUUGCUUUGUUCGUUGAAGAGUUUUACUUGGUCCCCUUAAUGCUUAGUGAGUAAGGAACUUAAUUUUGUGGACCCCGCUCUAGUGGCGGUGUGUUGGUUGAUAGCCAAAGUUAAUUUUUAAAAUAGUGUUUUAUCUGUGCUUGUGCUCGCAGCACACAGUAGAGGGGAGCGAAAUUAGCUGCGGAGCUGCUGCAGCGAGCAUGGGGACUUCUCAAGUCUCACCCAAUUUUUCUGGCUCUUCAGGAGCUGUUUAAAAGGAAAAGGCUUAAGGUAAAAAGAAACACUAUAGAGAGAUUUCUUAGUGAAUUACUACACCUUGGUUCGCGAUCUCUGGGAAUCUCAUGGUGGACAGCUGAGAUAAGCUGGAAAAGGAUUUAAAUUUUGCUUGGGAGCAAAGAAUCUUAAAGGCGGAGUUUCAGCCGGUAUGACACUUAGUGCUUAGCUGCCUAAAAGAUCAGAAAUGCUGUCAACAGGCUAUAAAAAAGGGACAGGCUGUGUUAAAAAUGCUACAUGAAUAAUAAUCUAAAAAGGCUGAGAGCUAGGUGGGGCUAUAAGGAAAACAAGAACAGGAAAGGAAUUUCUGACAUUUGCUCACAGAAGGAGAGUGCUCAUUUAGAGAAGUUCUUUAAGGAAGCCUGCCUUAUCUGCUGUCUUUAUUCCAAGGGAGGAGUCAGUCUCCAGCACUAAAUUACUUGGAGGUAGCCAAGGUCAGGAUUAAUGUUUUCUUUUCCAUGGGCCUUUAAACCCAGUGAGACAGUUUGGUAAAGGGCUACUACUGAGGUCCUGAUAGCCCCAGGUGAACUGGUUACAAUUCUUUUAUCAGCCCCCUGGCAUCUAGCACCCAGGUUCUAACCAUCUCUCCAUCCUUUUGUUAUUAGUUGUUACUAGAAGCCUAGUGUCAUUUGGAGGCUGGUUCUCUUGAGAGGCAAAGCCAUGGAGCUGACACUGACAAUGGCCUUUUUGUUCCAAGAAAGGCCUCCUGGUUUAGCUGUGUGACUAAAUGCUGUUUGCCCUCUUCGGUAGACUCUAUUCUCAAGAUUCUCUUGUUUUCUCACCAUCCCAUUUGAUAUGCUUGUUAGUAACUGUUACAGGUCUUCUUUACCACCGAUGAAAGACGGAAUCCUACUGGAGACCAGAAAAAAAUGUUCCAGACACGGAUAGAAGGCCCUCACUUCUGCCUGCUCUCUUCAGACGCCUGAAGGCUAAAAGACCUACAGGUGAUACAGAAAGAAAUCUGCUCACAGCUGACAGCAGCCUAUGCCCCGGAGACCCCUGAGACAUCCCAUCAGUUCCAGGUUGCAGCUACACUGAGUCCAGACACUCGAGCCUCGCUGGAAAGGACCGUACCUGGUGCUGCUGACCACCCUGACAGCUGUCAAUUCUCAGCCCUCACCAGCCGUGUACUAGCUGUUGGGGCUGAGAGCUGGGACCUAGAGGGAAAUUUAGUCAUGUUUGUCCUGGGUUCUAUCAAGAUAGGUGUGGGAUAGGCUUGAUUUCCAUUACAAAUGAUGUAACAUUGCAUAUGUUAGUACUCUUAACACUUCUUGGGACUGUGCCUCAGGGAUCACAGUCCGUAUAAGCUUAGAAGUUCUAAAAGCUAGUCAUGACCUUGGUGGAUAGGCUUGGAUAGUGUCCAGGUUAGAAUCCUCAUGUUAAGACUACAAUACCAAGCUGUUAUGCUAGAUGAAGCUGAGUUCUCCAUGAAGUUCUAGGAUUAGAACUAUUAACAAAAAAAGAAGAAGUGGGGAAUGAAGGAUUAAAAAUUAAUAAUAAGCCGCCUAGCUACCCAAAAAGAAGAGGUAGGGUCUGUGAGAACAUGAACUUUUCGCCCCUCCCUUGCUGUGCAAUGGUUCCCGGAACAUUCUUGCAUGAAAGGUUUCCUGGAACAGCCACAAUGACCCAUAGCCUCCGGCCACAAUGGUCCAAUGGCCCUGUAAAAUGUCGCAAAGUCCUGGGUGUGUUGCCUAGUGUUGCACGUGGCUAGCAUAUGGCCUAGAUGUAUGGGCAGUUUAUGGUUUUGGAAUUCCCCUCCUCCCUCCCUCUUGAUCCCCCUGGUUUGUGGUUUUUUCCUUUAUAAGCUCUGUGAAAAUUCAGGUCGGGGUCGAACUCCUCUACUCCCUGUGUGGUGUAUGAGUCUCGACCCCAGCAUGCUGGCCUGAGCUCUCGUUUCAUCUCGCUCACAAUAAAUCUUCCUCGUGUGAUUACA